UAAAAGAAUGAAAAACAUAAAGCCAUUUAUUGGCAAAACAGAGGUUCACCAAACGGUGCAACCCGAAAAACAAGAAAACCCUAAAAAUAAAAAUAAAAACCUAAAGAAAAACACAUUAGCCUCGAUUCGUUUCUCCCAAAUCUCUUAAUCUCCAUUUUCACACCAGUAGCAUGGUAAAGGCUUCUUACCCGAAUCAGGGAUAAUGAAACAUCAGAAUUUUCAGCCCUUUGCCAAAACAAAACUGAGUUCUUCGGAAUCAAGACAAAAAUUUUCCAGUCUCAGCCUGUGUCCUUCGAAAUCAUUCAUUUUCAAAACCGAUCCUUUCUCUAUUUACAAUGUCUUCUACUGAAUUUGGAGCCUCCUCUAUCCAAUAUUUCGGUCAUUCAUAACUUCUUCCUUCUUUUGCUAGUGUGUGUGCUGCAGUAUUGGCCAAUCUAGUAGUUACCCCUUUAAUUACUGUCAACGCAUCACCUUCCACGCAGAUCUCUCUGAAACCUAAUUCCUCUCUAAAAGUGACCGCAUGCAAGUACGCCCAGGGUUCUGCUAGUUCUGGUGUCGAGAUGUUUAAGAACGGGUAAAUGCGUUUAAGAACGGAUCUUGCAGGAUUUUUCUUGUGAAUUUACAAUCUCGGAAUAGAUGUGCCACAGUUUCCUCAUCCUCCUUGCAAACUAGGCAACAAGCGUUUCUCAGCAAGCCUUUAUUUUUUAAAUUGUAAAGCGUAGGCAAAAACCCCAUCGAAAGUUUCCACACGUGUAUUCGGAUUUUAGCUGCUUCUUUAAUCUUCCAUAUCUUUGUAAAGAAAGUAUGCAUUCGAGAAUUCUGUGAAGCGGUAUUGUCUUCUUUAUUAAGUAAAUUUUCUGUAACAA